AAUUGAACCUACUGUCCUACUGCAUAGAAAAUAGAAAUAAUGAUGGAUUUCUUUGUAAAUCCACUAUAUAUGAACGUUCAUUCUAAUAAACGAAUCGAGUAUGAAACGAUAAACAUUAGUUGAUUUGCUUUUUGCCGAAUGUCCUCGACUGUUCAUGAGUGAACAGUAAAAUGACGACUUUACCCUCCCUUUUUUUUCUUAAGCUACAGCUCUAGAUAUUUUCUGUCUCUCACUCUCUAGUCUCUACCCCAACAGCUGUACGCCUGCUGUAGCACGAAGAGAAUUAGUGAGAGAGAGAUAGAGUGAGAGAGAGGUGAAAUUCAGGAAAGAUAUAGAAUUCAUCUCAUCAUCUCAGCACGAUCUCAUCAUCUCAGAUCGGAGAGGCACACAGAGAAAGAAGGGUAUUGUUCGGUUUUGCUGUGAGGAGGAAGAGGACCUGCGUUUUGGAUAACUCUGCGUUUUGAGCCAAGGAAAAGAUGAGGGAUUUGGGUAUAGGGUUGUGAUCGAUACUUUGUUUUUGGGGCUAUGGUUCUUGCAUCAGUGAGAACUUGGUGAGCUUUCAGCUAAGGUUUGUAAAAGUCCAAGCACUAAGAUACAGAAGACAACAGGAAAAUCAAUCUUUGUUUGUUUUGGAAAAGGAUCUGUUCUGUGUCUUGGACUGUUUGGUUUUGGUGAAAGCAGGUUUGGGAUAAGCAAAUUAUAAUUUGAAAACAGGAGCAUGAUUUGCAAGUUGGGACUUGAAAGUUGCAUAUAUUGCAGAAGUUGGGAAGACCAGGUUUUUUAAACUCCUAGAGGCAGUUGUUUGGGAGUUUAAGGAUUUUGCUAACCAACUACAACAUCUUCCGCAGCUGCAACUGAAACAAUCACCUUUUGAACAACCGGAGCACUUACUAUUUUGAACAACCUCCAACAGUAACUUUUGCUAGAUUAACUUAUAACCUUUUUGUUGAGCUAGCAUUUUUGGACCAGCUCCAGUUUAAUGGACUUCAACUAAAAGGUAAAAUAUGUAAAAACUCUUCACUAUUUCAAUAAUAUGUAAUAAUUUCCCUUUUGUA
rnacentral:lncRNA from 1 species